GGAGAAUAAGGUAAAAUGUUUAUGAAGGUGACACUGUGUAUGGCAUGCUGCACUAAGUUUCUUGCUUUUAUGCUCUCACGCACUCUUUCUCCAUUCCCCUCUCUCUUCUUCCAUCUGCUGGAGCUGCUCGCCUUUCUGUCGGGGACACCGAAGCAUUCAUGCGGCUGAGAGCCAUUCUAUUAUUCAGCUAUAAGUUCUGGAUGACAAAGGAAAGAGAAGAGGGGCAAAUCACCCACUGAAGAGGAAGAAAAUAGCCACACAUUUUGAUGCCUGGAGGAUGAAACCUCCUAUGUUAUUUCCUUCCGUCUUUCUCUCUAUGUCCAUUUUGAUUAAUGGACAUCAUUAGAAAUAGACACAGGCUAUCAGAACUUGAAUGAAUCAGGCAGCUGCAGUUACCCACGAUGCUCUGCAUAGUCGGAGCAGUAUAGAGUGGUGCAGCUUUAAUGACAAAUCGAAAUGACAGAAUAUGUUUGGAAAAAAAAUCCAUGGCAACCAUGGCUGCAAAGGACGGCAAUCGAUAUCGUUUUGGUUAUGCAGCAGCUACAAGUUUGAACUGAAGAGGACAGAGAGCCAAAUAGAAAGGAGGAUGGAUAUGAUGUCUCUGGGGGGUAGAGGGGCUGCACAAGAGUAAUGGCCCGGCUGUGGACAGCAAACAUAUCCAUCCAUAUG
ensembl:lncRNA